rnacentral:rRNA from 1 species
GGCGAACGGGUGAGUAAUGCAUCGGAACGUAUCCUGUAAUGGGGGAUAACGUAGCGAAAGUUACGCUAAUACCGCAUACGCUCGAGAGAGGAAAGUGGGGGAUCGCAAGACCUCACGUUAUAGGAGCGGCCGAUGUCCGAUUAGCUAGUUGGUGGGGUAAAGGCCUACCAAGGCGACGAUCGGUAGCUGGUCUGAGAGGAUGAUCAGCCACACUGGGACUGAGACACGGCCCAGACUCCUACGGGAGGCAGCAGUGGGGAAUUUUGGACAAUGGGCGAAAGCCUGAUCCAGCCAUGCCGCGUGCGGGAAGAAGGCCUUCGGGUUGUAAACCGCUUUAGUCCGGGAAAAAGGGGUGCGAGGAUAAUACCCUCGUGCUUUGAUGGUACUGGAAGAAUAAGCACCGGCUAACUACGUGCCAGCAGCCGCGGUAAUACGUAGGGUGCGAGCGUUAAUCGGAAUUACUGGGCGUAAAGCGUGCGCAGGCGGUCUUGUAACCAGUCGUGAAAGCCCCGGGCUUAAC